rnacentral:rRNA from 1 species
AGAAUCAACGCUGGCGGCGUGCCUAACACAUGCAAGUCGCACGAGAAAGGGGAGCAAUCCCUGAGUAAAGUGGCGCACGGGUGAGUAACACGUGAAUCAUCUACCUCCGAGUGGGGAAUAACCUAGAGAAAUCUGGGCUAAUACCGCAUAACACUUACGAGUCAAAGCAGUAAUGCGCUUGGAGAGGAGUUCGCGGCCGAUUAGCUAGUUGGCGGGGUAAUGGCCCACCAAGGCGAUGAUCGGUAUCCGGCCUGAGAGGGCGCACGGACACACUGGAACUGAAACACGGUCCAGACUCCUACGGGAGGCAGCAGUGGGGAAUUUUGCGCAAUGGGGGAAACCCUGACGCAGCAACGCCGCGUGGAGGAUGAAGCCCUGGGGUGUAAACUCCUUUCGAUCGGGAAGAUAAUGACGGUACCGAUAUAAGAAGCCCCGGCUAACUUCGUGCCAGCAGCCGC